GACGUAGGGCGCGAGCGUUGUCCGGAAUUAUUGGGCGUAAAGAGCUCGUAGGUGGCCUGUCGCGUCGGCUGUGAAAACUCGGGGCUCAACCCCGGGUCUGCAUUCGAUACGGGCAGGCUAGAGUGUGGUAGGGGAGAUCGGAAUUCCUGGUGUAGCGGUGAAAUGCGCAGAUAUCAGGAGGAACACCGGUGGCGAAGGCGGAUCUCUGGGCCAUUACUGACGCUGAGGAGCGAAAGCGUGGGGAGCGAACAGG
rnacentral:rRNA from 1 species